UUGGGAGGCCGAGGCAGGCAGAUCACAAGGUCAAAAGAUGGAGAUCAUCCUGGCCAACAUGGUGAAACCCCAUCUCUACUAAAAAUACAAAAAUUAGCCAGGCGUAGUGGCAUGCGCCUGUAGUCCCAGCUACUCGGGAGGCUGAGGCAGGAGACUCACUUGAACCAGGGAGGCGGAGGUUGCAGUGAGCCGAAAUUGUGCCACUGCACUCCAGCCCGGGCAACAGAGUGAGACUCUGUCUCAAAAAAAAAAAAAAAAAAGAAAGAAAAAAAAAGGCAGGCAGAUCGUGAUUGUGGAGGGGGCUCGAAACGUGGAGAUGAGUUUGCCAGAUUUUUUUUUCUCCCCCUCUCUUUUUUUCAUUUCUCUCAUGGCUUUGCCUUGAAGGUCUGAGCUCCCCUCGGAGCUACCUAGGCAUGCGACAGACCCCAAACAACACUGCAGCCUUUGAAAACUGAAAGGAGACAGGAAUCACUAUCCACAGAAAGCCAGACAGAACUUCCAGAAUGUCAGGCCUCUGAGCCCAAGCCAAGCCAAGCCAUCGCAUCCCCUGUGACUUGCAUGUACACAUCCAGAUGGCCUGAAGUAACUGAAGACACAAAAGAAGUAAAAAUAGCCUUAACUGAUGACAUUCCACCAUUGUGAUUUGUUUCUGCCCCACCCUAACUGAUCAAUGUACUUUGUAAUCUCCCCCACCCUUAAGAAGGUACUUGGUAAUCAAUCUCCCCCACCCUUAAGAAGGUUCUUUGUAAUUCUCCCCACCCUUGAGAAUGUAUUUUGUGAGAUCCACCCCUGCCUGCAAAACAUUGGUCUUAACUUCACCGCCUAUCCCAAAACCUGUAAGAACUAAUGAUAAUCCACCACCCUUUGCUGACUCUCUUUUCGGACUCAGCCCACCUGCACCCAGGUGAUUAAAAGCUUUUAUUGCUCACACAAAGCCUGUUUGGUGGUCCCUUCACAUGGAUGCGCAUGAAACAGAGAACAUGCAAGAAUGGCAACCAUGCUGUCAAGGGUUCCAACACCUCUCUGGC
rnacentral:lncRNA from 10 species